rnacentral:rRNA from 1 species
GGGAAAAACCCAGCAGUGAAUCCCGCGGCCGUCUCGGUCGCCGGGAAAUGUAGUGUUAGGGAGGGUCCGCCAUCCCGAGAUCGCGCGGCGUGUCCAAGUCCUUCUUGAACGGGGCCACUUACCCAUAGAGGGUGCCAGGCCUGUAGUGACUGUCGCCGGCAACGGGAGGAUCUCUCCUCAGAGUCGGGUUGCUUGAGAGUGCAGCCCUAAGUGGGUGGUAAACUCCAUCUAAGGCUAAAUAUAACCACGAUACCGAUAGCGUGAGGGAAAGUUGAAAAGAACUUUGAAGAGAGAGUUCAAUAGUACGUGAAACCGUUCAGGGGUAAACCUGAGAAACCCGAAAGAUCGAAUAGGGAGAUUCAGCGCGUCUCGCUGCUUGCGAGCGGUGGUCGCGUGACGGACGGCGUUCGCGCCGUUCGCACCUUCCGCCGACGACUCGUGGCGAACGCGUGCACUUCUCCCCUAGUACCCGUUAGGACCCGUCUUGAAACACGGACCAAGGAGUCUAGCAUGUACGCGAGUCAUUGGGACUUAUCGAAACCUAAAGGCGUAAUGAAAGUGAAGGCCGCCUUGCGCGCGCCUAGGAAAGAUGCGCCAAGCUCCGUCUUGGCGCCGCACUCCCGGGGCGUCUCGUGCUCAUCGCGAGCUGAGGCGCACCCAGAGCGUACACGCUGGGACCCGAAAGA